GACAGAGGGUGCAAACGUUGUUCGGAAUUACUGGGCGUAAAGCGCGUGUAGGCGGCUAAGCAAGUCGGGCGUGAAAUCCCACGGCUCAACCGUGGAAGUGCACUCGAAACUGCAUAGCUAGAGUCCUGGAGAGGAAGGCGGAAUGCUUGGUGUAGAGGUGAAAUUCGUAGAUAUCAAGCGGAACACCGGUGGCGAAGGCGGCCAACUGGUCCGAUACUGACGCUGAGGCGCGAAAGCGUGGGGAGCAAACAGG
rnacentral:rRNA from 1 species